CGGGCAUGGUGGCGGGCGCCUGUAGUCCCAGCUACUCAGGACGCUGAGGCAGAGAACUGCUUGAACCCGGGAGACGGAGGUUGCAGUGAGCCGAGAUCGUGCCACUGCACUCCAGCCUGGGGGACAGAAUGAGACUCUGUCUCAGAGAAAAAACAAAAACAAAAACAAAGGCAAAUUCUUGCACCACCCCAGACCUACUAAAUUAGAAACUUUGGGGAUUAGGCCCAAUGAUGCACAUUUUCACAAGUCCUCCAGGGGAUCCUGAUGCAUGUGAAAAUUUAAGAACCACUGCUUUAAGGUAGAUAGAUGGGAUGUUUUCCAUUUUAAAGUGAAUCCCUCUAAUUUUUUUCUGAAGUUUUUGAUAUCUUCUAUACUUGUCUGUGGUGAGUACCAAUAAGCAGGAAAAUGAGAGAAGAGAACAUUUGCAGGAUAGCACAGUUGUGAGUAAGAGGGCAGUUUCCCCUGGCUGAGACCCUGGUGAAAUUCCUUUACCUCUUUUUUUUUUUUUUGAGAUGGAGUCUUGCUCUGUCGCCAGGCUGGAGUGCAGUGGCGCGAUCUCGGCUCUCUGCAACCUCUGCCUCCCAGGUUCAAAUGAUUCCCCUGCCUCAGCCUCCCAAGUAGCUGGGAUUACAGGCUUGUGCCACCAUGUCCAGCUAAUUUUUUGUAUUUUAGUAGAGAUGGGGUUUCACCAUGUUGGCCAGGAUGGUCUCGAUCUCCUGACCUCGUGAUCUGCCUGUCUUGGCCUCCCAAAGUGCUGGGAUUACAGGCAUGAGCCACCACACCUGGCCUCCUUUACCUCUUAAGCUUGUCUUCUUUAUAAGAAGGGAAAAAAUGGCCAGGCAUGGUGGCUCACACCUAUAAUCCCAGCACUUUGGGAGGCUGAGAUGGGAAGAGUGCUUGAGGCCAGGAAUUCAAGACUAGCCUGGGCAACAUAGUGAGACCCUCUCUAAAAAAAAAAAAAAAACUUUGUUUAAAGAAGGGAGAAAAUCAGUACUUACAAGAUUAUCACAAGGAUCAAAUGAGACGCUGCCUGGCACACACAGUGUUUACUCAUUAUGCUGAUUAUUAUUACCACUGCAGAACUCAGGAGCUGAUUACUUUAUGGAAUUAGCUCAACAGCUAGCUAGGAUUUUCCAAGGUUAUAAUUUUAUACUGCAUGCAUAUAGUAACUGUACAAUAGUCUUGUUUUUAAGAAUUCACAUGUCCCAAAGCUCUGCAGAGCCACGGAGCUGAGACUGACUUUACGGCCUCUUCUAAGCCUUACUCUAAGGUAAGCCCUGUUCAGAGACUUGCCUUGAUGGUCUCAGGCAUCAAGAUGCUGACAUCUUGUAAACCAGGUGCUCAACACCUGAGGAAAAACCUCCAGUCUUGCAGCAAGUGAAUGGAGUGGCACAGCAACUGGUCCUUGCGGAAGGAUGAGGCUGACAGGACACAGAAGGGGCACUUCUCUUCAGCUCCCCCUCUCGGCUGCAGCUCUCCCUAUGGGUCUAUAGCAGGAGAGCCUGAUGUUUUCCAGUAGACCUUGGUGGGUACGAGACCUAAAUCAUGGGCUCCAAAGGCCAUCUUGAAUCAAAACUACCAGCAUAUUUUUUUUUUCUGAGACAGAGUCUCGCUCUGUCACCCAGGCUGGAGUGCAGUGGUGCCAUCUCGGCUCACUGCAAUCUUCGCCUCCUGGGUUCACACCAUUCUCCUGCCUCAGCCUCCCAAGUAGCUGGGACUACAGGCGCCCGCCACCACACCUGGCUAAUUUUUUUUUUUACUUUUAGUAGAGACGGGGUUUCACCAUGUUAGCCAGGAUGGUCUCGAUCUCCUGACUUCAUGAUCUGCCCACCUUGGCCUCCAAAGUGCUGGGAUUACAGGUGUGAGCCACUGCGCCUGGCCAAUACCAGCAUAGUUUAGCUGCUAUCCCAACUUCCAUUACCUCUUCAAUAGAAUGCAAGCUCCAAGGUGCCUGCAAGUUUUUAUUCCUUCCUGUGUCCCUGUAAACAGUGCCUGCCACUUACAGGGUGACUGAAUGGGUGAAUAUUUACUAAACCAAUAGUUACAUAAUUAGAAGAAACAAAAGGUACUCUUUGCCAAGAAGAGAAGACUAAGAAAAACUUGAAAGAAGUGUGGGGCUUCCUUCAGCUGGAGCCUCUUUCCAAGUUGUAUGGUGUGUGGAAUUCUUACUGUGAUGUGGGAGAGGCCAGCCUGGGGUCACUUACGGAUGAGUCUGAAGGCACAGUCAAUAUACAGGAGUCAGCUGAAGCUGGGGAAAUGGCACAGUUGUUGCAAUCCUCGUCUCUCAUUUGCUUCUUGGUAAAUCCCAGCUCCUUUCAAGCUGAAACUAAGCCCUCUCUAGGCUCCUUGCCCACAGACUGGGCCAGUCUGACAGGUGCUUCAGUGGUAUGAGGGGUGGGGUGGGGAAGGAGAUGCACUGUCACCUUUAGGCAAGGGGCUGAAUGCAUCCAGGUGAGUUCUGUGACAUUCUGAAUGUGCCAGAGCAGGCAGUUUGAGAGGAACAGACUGAGGAAAUACUUGUUUACAUAAAGUUACUAAGGCAGGAAUACCCACUCUCCUGUGUGCCAAGCAAGCCAGUGGGCAGCAACCCUCCCUGAACAUGAAUGCCCUCAGGGCCUUUACUCACACUGCUCCCUCCAGUGUCCUUUAUUGGACAUCACUGGCCAUCUCCACCUGCCCAGAAUCCACAGUAUCACCGCUCCUACUCUGCACCACGCCCAGUCCUGCCCAAGCAGAGGGGCUUCCUCUAGUGCUCAAUGUUCACCCGGAGAGGGCCUCAGUGGGUAACUAUUAGUGUGGGCCACCAAAGUUGUAACCUUGAGGGGUUUUACAAGGCCAGAGACCUUGCCUAGUAUAUAGAAUUGGCAGGUAUUUACAAAUUUUGUAAAAAUUAUCUCUCCCGCCAAACUUCUACCAGUACUCUAACCAAAAAGCUUUCUAUUUCUGGGUUUAUUACAAUUGCUAAAAGCGGUUAUAAUCUUCAUUAUUCUUUGGAAGGAUCUGAGAAGCAUGAAAAGGCACUGGCCCAGGCCUGAGUUCUAAUGGUGAUCAUCUCACAAGCCAGGGACUUCUCCCCUUCCUGGGCCUCAGUAACUGCUUGUUAUAAAAACAAGGGGUGUCUUUUAGCUCCAUUAGGUUAGGAUACCAUUUUGAGAGAAUACACAUGACGACUUAAGUGAAGUUUACUAAAGAAAAAUUAUUCUCCAGAAAUCAGCAGUACUUUGCAGACAUGCUGAGAAUACAUAAUCAUUAGGCAUUAGGGCAGUAUGGCAGUAUUUUAGCCAAACUCCUUUCACGUAAUUAAAAAAACUCACUUCAGACUGGUUUCAAAAAAUCAAAAAACAGACCGGGUACCAUGGCUUACGCCUGUAAUCCCAGCACUUUGGGAGGCCGAGACAGGGUGAUCACCUGAGGUUGGGAGUUCGAGACCAGCCUGACCAACAUGGAGAAACCCCGUCUCUACUAAAAAUACAAAAUUAGCCAGGUGUGGUGGCGCAUGCCUGUAAUCCCAGUUACUCAGGAGGCUGAGGCAGCAGAAUCACUUGAACCUGGGAGGUGGAGGUUGUGGUGAGCCGAGAUCGUGCCAUUGCACUCCAGCCUGGGCAACAAGAGCGAAACUCCAUCUCAAAAAAAAAAAAUCAAAAAUCAUUAUAAGGAUAACUGACAGAUUAAUGUAGUCCAAUGCAAGGAUGCAGGAAUAGAUGCAGAAACCAAGGAUGUCUUCAGGGUUAUCAAGGUACCUGCUAUCUCAGGCCCACAUGCUUCUGUUUGUCCAUGCAGUGCUGGCUCCUGAUUUUGUAAGUGCCACAUCCAAGCACCAUUCCAGAUGGUGAACAGUAUCUCUCCUUCCCCAUGCAAAAUUCUUUUUUUUUUUUUUUUGAGAAAGAGUCUUGCUCUGGAGUGCAGUGGCACGAUCUUGGCUUACUGCAACCUCUGCCUCCCCGGUUCAAGCAUUUCUCCCUGCCUCAGCCUCCCCAGGUGCCCGCCACCACACCUGGCUAAUUUUUGUAUUUUUUUUAGUAAGAGACAGGGUUUCGCCAUAUUGGCCGGACUGGUCUUGAACUCCUGACCUCAGGUAAUCCGCCCACUUUGGUCUCCCAAAGUGCUGGGACUACAGGCAUGUGCCACCGCACCCGGCCAAAAUUCUUUUUUUUUUUGAGACGGAGUCUCACUCUGUCGCCCAGACUGUAGUGCAGUGGCACGAUCUUGGCUUACUGCAAGCUCCGCCUCCUGGGUUCACAUCCUUCCUCUGCCUCAGCCUCCCUAGUAGCUGGGACUACAGGUGCCCACCACCACACCCGGCUAAUGUUUUGUAUUUUUAGUAGAGACAGGGUUUCACCAUGUUAGCCAGGACAAUCUCGAUCUCCUGACCUCGUGAUCUGCCUGCCUUGGCCUCCCAAAGUGCUGGGAUUACAGGCGUGAACCACUGCGCCUGGCCAAAUUCUUUUUUUUUUGAGACAGAGUCUUGCUCUGUUGCCCAGGCUGGAGUGCAGAGAUGUGAUCUUGGCUCACUGCAAUCUCUGCUUCCUGGGUUCAAGUGAUUCUCCUGCCCCAGCCUCCCGAGGAGCUAGGAUUAUAGGUGCCCAUCACCACAUCUGGCUAACUUUUGUCUUUUUAGUAGAGAUGGAGUUUCACCAUGUUGUCCAGGCUGGUCUCGAACUCCUGUCCUCAAGUGAUCUGCCCAUCUUGGGCCUUCCAAAAUGCUGUAAUUACAGGCGUGAGCCACUGCACCUAGCCCAAAAUUCUUUUUCUUAUUUUUAUUUUUGGAGACAGAGUCUCCCUCUGUCACCCAGGCUGGAAUGCAGUGACACGGUCUCGGCUCAUUGCACAACCUCCGCCUCCAGGUUCAAGCGAUUCCCCUGUCUCAGCCACCCACGUAGCUGGGAUUACAGGCGUGCGCCACCAUGCCCAGCUAAUUUUUGUAUUUUUAGUAAAGACAGGGUUUCACCAUGUUGGCCAGGCUGGCCUCGAACCCCUGACCUCAAGUGAUCCGCCUGUCUCGGCCUCCCAAAGUGUUGCAAUUACAGGCAUGAGCCACCGUGCCCGGCCCCAAAAUUCUUAACAUUAAGAACUGUCUUGGGCCUGUCUGGAUCAGGAGUUCAACCCAGGUCCAAUCAACUGGUGUGUGGGCAAGAGGGAGGAGAGGGCGAGAGAAAAGGUCACUGUGUAGAAACAUAAACCCCACUCCUGAAGUCAGGCAGGUACCCAAACACUGUCACUGGAGAGAGGUCAGUCACUUCAUCAGGUGCUUAGCUCUCAGUACUUAAAUAAAACAGCAAAGAAGUUUGUACUUUGUUACAAUUCAGAAUGACCUUCCCCUCCAAAUUCCUACUGAACUAGUCAAACCUCCAGUACUGUAAACUACUUACAUUUCGAAAAGCUCUACUGAAUGUUGAAAUCCAAGUAGAAAAAGUUAUAAAAAGUUACUCCCUGUUUUAUUGCUGUUCACUGGAUUUGGCUGACAUUUGCUUUUUACUUUCAUCAAAUCUUACCGAAUGAUGAAGACACAUCAAGUUACAAAGGUACCACUUUCUCUCUAAUAUCUUUUCUUUUUAAACAAUUUGUGUCAAUGUCAACAACAUGAUAAAGAUGAAGGGUGUUCAACUGAUUAUUUGAACCCAUAAAAACUCCACCAGGGAAUCUUAUUUUGUGGGCACAAUGCACAGAGCCUGGAACAUGGUGGGUGCUCAAUGUUGGAGGAAUCAAAUUCCAACUUUAAAAUGAGUACAAGGACCUACUU
rnacentral:lncRNA from 1 species